GACGAACGCUGGCGGCGUGCUUAACACAUGCAAGUCGAACGGAGAGGCGCGUGCUUGCGCUCGUGGAUCAGUGGCGAACGGGUGAGUAACACGUGAGUAACCUUCCCCUCACUCUGGGAUAAGCACUGGUAACGGUGUCUAAUACUGGAUACGACCAACCCUUGCAUGGGGUGUUGGAGGAAAGGUUUGUCGGUGGUGGAUGGCCUCUAGUCCUAUCAGUUUGUUGGCGGGGGCAUGGCCCACCAAGGCGGCGACGGGUAGCCGGGCUGGGAGGGUGACCGGGCACAGUGGGAAUGGGAGACGGGCCAGACGCCGACGGGAGGGAGGAGGGGGGGAGAGUGCAGAAGGGGCGGAAGCCGGAGGCAGCAACGCCGCGGGGGGGAGGAAGGCCGUAGGGGUGGAAACCGCGUUCAGCAGGGGCGAAGCUGGUGGUGACGGUACCUGCAGAAGAAGCACCGGCUAACUACGUG
rnacentral:rRNA from 1 species